AAGGGCACCACCAGGAGUGGAGCCUGCGGCUUAAUUUGACUCAACACGGGAAAACUCACCCGCCCGGACACUGGAAGGAUUGACAGAUUGAGAGCUCUUUCUUGAUUCAGUGGGUGGUGGUGCAUGGCCGUUCUUAGUUGGUGGAGUGAUUUGUCUGGUUAAUUCCGAUAACGAACGAGACUCUAGCCUACUAAAUAGAUAGUCGGCUUACAAACGUCGACUAGACUUCUUAGAGGGACAGGCGGUGAUUCAACCGCACGAAACAGAGCAAUAACAGGUCUGUGAUGCCCUUAGAUGUCCGGGGCCGCACGCGCGCUACACUGAAGUGAUCAGCGUGCUUUUUCAGCCUACUCUGUCAAGAGUGGGAAACCCAAUGAACCUUCUUCGUGAUUGGGAUAGGGGAUUGUAAUUAUUCCCCUUGAACGAGGAAUUCCCAGUAAGCGCGAGUCAUAAGCUCGCGUUGAUUACGUCCCUGCCCUUUGUACACACCGCCCGUCGCUACUACCGAUUGAAUGUUUU
rnacentral:rRNA from 1 species